GCGGCACGCUUCAUACAUGCAAGUCGAGGGGCAGCAUAAAGUACUUGUACUUUGAUGGCGACCGGCGAACGGGUGCGUAACGCGUAUGCAACUUACCUUUUACUAGAGAAUAGCCAAGAGAAAUUUUGAUUAAUGCUCUAUACUCUUAUUAACUCACAUGAUUUUUUAAGAAAAGCUCCGGCGGUAAAAGAUGGGCAUGCGUCCUAUUAGCUUGUAGGUGAGGUAACGGCUCACCUAAGCUCCGAUAGGUAGGGGUCCUGAGAGGGAGAUCCCCCACACUGGUACUGAGACACGGACCAGACUUCUACGGAAGGCAGCAGUAAGGAAUAUUGGACAAUGGAGGCAACUCUGAUCCAGCGAUGCCGCGUGAAGGAAGACGGCCCUAUGGGUUGUAAACUUCUUUUAUACAGGAAGAAACCUUUCCACGUGUGGAAAGCUGACGGUACUGUAAGAAUAAGGAUCGGCUAACUCCGUGCCAGCAGCCGCGGUAAUACGGAGGAUCCAAGCGUUAUCCGGAAUUAUUGGGUUUAAAGGGUCCGCAGGCUGUUUGUUAAGUCAGGGGUGAAAUCCUACCGCUCAACGGUAGAACUGCCUUUGAUACUGGCAAACUUGAGUUAUUGUGAAGUAGUUAGAAUGUGUAGUGUAGCGGUGAAAUGCAUAGAUAUUACACAGAAUACCGAUUGCGAAAGCAGAUUACUAACAAUAUACUGACGCUGAGGGACGAAAGCGUGGGUAGCGAACAGGAUUAGAUACCCUGGUAGUCCACGCCGUAAACGAUGGUCACUAGCUGUUUGAUGUACAUUGGUACAUUGAGUGGCUAAGCGAAAGUGAUAAGUGACCCACCUGGGGAGUACGC
rnacentral:rRNA from 1 species